rnacentral:lncRNA from 1 species
UAUUUAUAUCUAGACUAAACUAAUAUGACCUUUCUAUUUUUUUAUUCUAUUGCCACCAAACUCUGAUGGUGCUGCUGGGAGGUGGGUCGGGCACUCUAAUGGAUGCAGGCUGCCCACCAUGGCCGACGAAUCUGCAUAGAAAGUUCUCUCAUCAGAGUGUGUUGGAUAGGGGAUGCUCUAAUGCCCAGGUCAAUCGGAAUUUAGAAAAUAGAUGAAAGAGGAAAGUGGCAGUUAAGAGCAA